GGCGACUGAUCAAGGAGAAAUAGCGGAUCAGUGUGCUGUGGACUUGGCUUGUUGCCGGUCAUUGCAAAUUCCACUUCUUGAAGCUAUACCCUAGCUUCCGGGUGUUGAGUUCUUCCUCGUCAUUGAUCUGGAUUGAGGUAAGGGACUGUUGAGCUUAUGGACAGGGAUCAAGGUGCUGUGAGCUGUUGGAUUUGCUGCCAUCCCUCAAGGACUUGGAUUUGGGACGAGCGUCUCGACG